rnacentral:rRNA from 1 species
AAAGUGGCGAACGGCUGAGUAACACGUGGGCAACCUGCCCUUUGCACUGGGAUAGCCUCGGGAAACCGAGGUUAAUACCGGAUACUCCAUAUUUGUCGCAUGGCGAAUAUGGGAAAGCUCCGGCGGCAAAGGAUGGGCCCGCGGCCUGUUAGCUAGUUGGUGGGGUAGUGGCCUACCAAGGCAAUGAUGGGUAGCCGGGUUGAGAGACCGACCGGCCAGAUUGGGACUGAGACACGGCCCAGACUCCUACGGGAGGCAGCAGCG